rnacentral:pre_miRNA from 1 species
UUUUCGCACAUCCUAAAUUUCCGUGCCAACGUUUGACUGUCCAUCUUAUAUAAAAUUUUUUUAUAAUUAAUAUUUUCAUUGUUGUUAGAUAAUAAAACAUAAUUAAUUAUUUUUUCAAAUAAGACAAACGGUCAAAGAUUUGGGACGGAGGGAGGGAGUACA